GACGAACGCUGGCGGCGUGCUUAACACAUGCAAGUCGAACGGAAAGGCCCUGCUUUUGUGGGGUGCUCGAGUGGCGAACGGGUGAGUAACACGUGAGUAACCUGCCCUUGACUUUGGGAUAACUUCAGGAAACUGGGGCUAAUACCGGAUAGGAGCUCCUGCUGCAUGGUGGGGGUUGGAAGGUUUCGGCGGUUGGGGAUGGACUCGCGGCUUAUCAGCUUGUUGGUGGGGUAGUGGCUUACCAAGGCUUUGACGGGUAGCCGGCCUGAGAGGGUGACCGGCCACAUUGGGACUGAGAUACGGCCCAGACUCCUACGGGAGGCAGCAGUGGGGAAUAGUGCACAAUGGGCGGAAGCCUGAUGCAGCAACGCCGCGUGCGGGAUGACGGCCUUCGGGUUGUAAACCGCUUUCGCCUGUGACGAAGCGUGAGUGACGGUAAUGGGUAAAGAAGCACCGGCUAGCUACGUG
rnacentral:rRNA from 1 species